AUGUCAAACCGCUCUCUUGAUGUCCAUUUAUUUGGAAGCAACUCAAUGUUGAACUGGACUGCUAGGUAUCAGAUAGGCCUAGGUGUUGCAAGAGGUUUGGCCUACUUGCAUGACAACUGUCAAGACCGCGUCAUACACUGUGAUAUCAAGCCAGAAAACAUACUUCUUGAUUCUUCACUCCUUCCAAAAAUUGCAGACUUUGGGAUGGCAAAGCUUUUAGGAAGGGAUUAUAGCAGAGUAUUGACAACAAUGAGAGGAACUAUAGGAUACCUUGUGCCUGAAUGGCUUACCGGUGUUCAUAUUACACCAAAAGUCGAUGUUUUUAGCUACGGGAUGGUGUUGCUGGAAAUAAUAUCUGGAAGGAGGAACUCAUGUCCGUCAUGUCCUAGCUGUGGCAACACUGAUGUUUAUUUUCCUGUCCAUGCCGCACAUAAGCUUCUUGAAGGAGACGUCAGGAGUUUGGUAGAUCACGAGCUACAUGGUAUUGCCAAUCUAGACGAGGUUGAAAUUGCUUGCAAAGUUGCGUGCUGGUGCCUCCAAGACGAUGAACUUGAUCGGGCAACAAUGGGACAGGUGGUUCAGAUUUUCGAAGGGCUAGUUGAGAUCACAAUGCCCCCAAUACCAAGACUGCUCCAAGCUAUUGCUGGAAGCUCACAUUGA
rnacentral:rRNA from 1 species